rnacentral:rRNA from 1 species
AUUGAACGCUGGCGGCAUGCCUUACACAUGCGAGUCGAACGGCAGCACGGGGGCAAUCCUGGUGGCGAGUGGCGAACGGGUGAGUAAUAUAUCGGAACGUGCCCAGUCGUGGGGGAUAACGUAGCGAAAGCUACGCUAAUACCGCAUACGAUCUAUGGAUGAAAGCGGGGGAUCGCAAGACCUCGCGCGAUUGGAGCGGCCGAUAUCAGAUUAGCUAGUUGGUGAGGUAAAGGCUCACCAAGGCGACGAUCUGUAGCUGGUCUGAGAGGACGACCAGCCACACUGGAACUGAGACACGGUCCAGACUCCUACGGGAGGCAGCAGUGGGGAAUUUUGGACAAUGGGCGCAAGCCUGAUCCAGCAAUGCCGCGUGCAGGAUGAAGGCCUUCGGGUUGUAAACUGCUUUUGUACGGAACGAAACGGUGAGCUCUAAUACAGUUUGCUAAUGACGGUACCGUAAGAAUAAGCACCGGCUAACUACGUGCCAGCAGCCGCAGUAA